rnacentral:lncRNA from 1 species
ACUUUAUUUAACUGUGAAUGUUUUCACAGUUGUUCUUGGUGAAAAUGCUGGUCUUCUGCUCUCCACUCCUUGCUGUCCAGAAGAAGUGUUCAGAUAAUAUUUAAGGUCAUGAGAAUGGUUGAGAUAUAAAAAGGAAUGAGUGAAACAGAGGAGAAGAUUGAAUACUGAAGUCUGCAGGAUCCAAAAAUGGAAAGAUAUCCAUAAAUACAAGGAAAAAUAAUCAUAUUCUGUAUGGUAUUCAAUUGUACUUAAGA